rnacentral:rRNA from 1 species
CACGGGGGGAGCAAGCGUUGUUCGGAAUCACUGGCGUAAGGCAGGUCUAGGCGGUCAAGUAAGUGGGAUGUGAAAUGCCCCGGCUCACCCGGGGACCGGCAUCCCAUACUGUUUGGCUUGAGUACGGGAGAGGAUGUGGGAAUUCCUGGUGUAGCGGUGAAAUGCGUAGAUAUCGUCUGGAACGCCAAAGGUGAAAACAGACUGCUGGGAGUGUGCUGACGCUGAGACACGAAAGCCAGGGGAGCAAACGGG